ensembl:rRNA 5S_rRNA 5S ribosomal RNA
UGCCACAGCCAUUUCACCCUGCAGCCAAAGACCGGUUACUCACUGAAGAUAAGCAGGGGAGAGACUCGUCAGUACCUGGAUGGGAGACCACAUGGGAAAUCUAAGUUGCUGUUGGAA